rnacentral:rRNA from 1 species
UACGAAGGGAGCUAGCGUUGUUCGGAAUCACUGGGCGUAAAGCGCACGUAGGCGGAUUGCUAAGUCAGGGGUGAAAUCCUGGAGCUCAACUCCAGAACUGCCUUUGAUACUGGCGACCUUGAGUCCGGGAGAGGUGAGUGGAACUGCGAGUGUAGAGGUGAAAUUCGUAGAUAUUCGCAAGAACACCAGUGGCGAAGGCGGCUCACUGGCCCGGUACUGACGCUGAGGUGCGAAAGCGUGGGGAGCAAACAGG